UUUUGUUAGGUACAACGAGCUGUCGUCUCGAAUCACUCGUGCAGAUUCACUUUGCUAGACACACCCGAUUGGACAUCCGUCACAUGAAAUGUCUUCAUGGUCCAGCUUCACUUCCAUAUUUGAAUUUUUGGACAACAAGUACCAUCAGGUGGCGCUAGAAUCGCCUACAGAACCGAAGAAACUGAGGGAGGAAUUUUAAGAAAAACGAUGAUGAGAUGCCUCUGUGGAUAGUCUCUUCGUAUUUCAUCGCUCCACAUUGUUGCCGUUUCUUUGUGGGUUACCAGAAUAUUUCCUGAUCUGAAUAAUCAUUGUGUGACUUCAAGAACGAGUUUAAAUCGUUGUAAACAUUCUUUUUUUUUUUCUCAUGGUUUCAGUUUUGGUUUCUAGGUGAAAACUUGCAGAUGCAUGUGUGUAUUUUAACAAACGUUUUACAUAACUUGAAUGUUGACCACAACUGGCGCACCUGCAAAGUUUGACCUUUGGUAAAUCUCUCUAUUAUAUGUGGUCCUGAUGGUUUGAUUUAUAUAAUAAUAGUAAUAAUCGAAGCAUGUUAAUUAGUUACAUUUAUUUUUAUUAUUUUCCGCAAGGGGGGAACUGUAACUUUUAUAAUGACUUUGUACAGUAUUCAUGUUUGAUUGAAUAAGUGUUUCAUUACACGAUCAUUAGGUACUUGCCACAGCGUGUGGGAGCAACUUUCAGAAAGGGGAGCUCUGGUUUUACAGAAAUUAUGCGCAGAGUUGUUUGAUUGGUUACAGGAUAUAUAUAUUUACAUGUGUAAAUAUAAUUCCUAUAGCAUUUAUAUUUGGGUGUAAGUUUGCGUUAGCCUUGCUUGUUUCAUUAUAUUAUUAGUAAUCGCACCUGUUUAAACUUCCUAAGAGAUGGCGCCACAAGUCAGUUGAAGAUCUUUUUAGAAGUACAUGUUGGAUUGUAACUAGUUUGGUACAUUUAUUGCUGUUACUCAUUUAACUUUUCAUUGUGAAUGUAUAUGUGUAAGUUUGCGAAUCCUGGUUAAAGUAUGUCAAGUUAAAACAUAGCCUAUAUACAUCGGCUUCAAAUGAUAUACAAACACUUUCGGUGUGAACAAUUAUUUAAAAUCGAAUCAGUGUUGUAUAAUGACGUUAUUGGUUCUGGUUUUCUAACGGUUUUAAAAAGAUACUUGCUUUUAGGUGAGUGCCUUAUAAAGUGAUAAAAUACACACGUACUUCCGAAUAAUUUAAAAGACUUUUUAAUAAGUUAUUUUCCACAUCAGUUAGAACCUUUGGUGACAAUGAGAAUUGGAAAUAUUAAUCAAAGAAGAUGCUUAAUGAUUAGUUCGUCUACUUUUUCCUUUUUUUGGGUGGGGGGUAUUGUUUUUUCAUGUAACACGUGGAUGAUUAGACACACAACUUGGAGACACUGACAGAGUUUGUUAUUCCUGUCAAAUUUGGACCAUUAUAGAUGAUUAGACACACAACUUGGAGACACUGACAGAGUUUGUUAUUCCUGUCACAUUUGGACCGUUAUAGAUGAUU